UACCACUGUUCUCCACAAUAAAAAAUAAACCCUUAAGGACAGCAAAACUUGGUAUUUAAAAUAUUUAAUAUUGUUUUAAAACCCCACAAGAUUCUAUAAAGGCAACUGUUCGGAGCUUUCAAAACACACAAACAGUACUCGGAAGGGAAACCUGAGCCUGUGAUCUGAAAACCAUCGGGAAAAAGCAGGUACUGUUCAUCCAAUAUGACUCUGAAAACAAGGCAGAAAGUUUGAUCAUAUGCCAUGUGAGGGGAAGACCUGGGACUAAGAUGGACUUCUAACCCUGUGCAGCUUGUAACACCUCACCAGAUGAAGAAGCCAGCUGAGCUCUGAACAUGUAUAUUGUUGAUUUUGGUUGGUCCAACAAAGAUAUCACUAUUUGGUGGAUUUGUGAUGUUAUUGAUCGUCAUUCUGGAGUCAUAUUAUUUUGAAAUCAGGGUUUUGCUUUUUGUUUCAUCCUUCCAUUCAUC